rnacentral:rRNA from 1 species
AGGACGAACGCUGGCGGCGUGCUUAACACAUGCAAGUCGAACGGGGAUUAGGUGGAAAGGCUUCGGCCCGGAAGACUUAAUCGAGUGGCGGACGGGUGAGUAACGCGUGAGCAACCUGUCCCAGACAGGGGGAUAACACUUGGAAACAGGUGCUAAUACCGCAUAAGACCACGGGGUCGCAUGGCUCUGGGGUAAAAGGAGCAAUCCGGUUUGGGGUGGGCUCGCGUCCGAUUAGAUAGUUGGUGAGGUAACGGCCCACCCAAGUCGACGAUCGGUAGCCGACCUGAGAGGGUGAUCGGCCACAUUGGAACUGAGAGACGGUCCAAACUCCUACGGGAGGCAGCAGUGGGGAAUAUUGGGCAAUGGGCGAAAGCCUGACCCAGCAACGCCGCGUGAGUGAAGAAGGCCUUCGGGUUGUAAAGCUCUGUUAUGAGGGACGAAGGAAGUGACGGUACCUCAUAAGGAAGCCCCGGCUAACUACGUGCCAGCAGCGGC